rnacentral:misc_RNA from 1 species
UGCAGCUUGGCCGAUGUCUGGGUAUGUCUCGAGUCCCGGCUCGCUGUCAAGGCAACGGCGUAGCAGGAUGCCGGUGUAGCAAGCAAGGAUGGCAAAGAUGAACAGUAUGGACAGCCCGAUCCAACCUCCUUGCUUGACAGCAUAUGGUGUCGAGAGGAUUCCAACACCACAGAGAACAUUAAUUCCAUUAAUGACUGCUUGACCGUAGGAGCACUGGCCCGAUGCGGGCAGCCCAUGGAAGUCCUUGGAAGGCUUUUGUUCCUCUGUUAUCUUCUUCAAGGAUGGACCUCUCGGAGGGAGCAACGAUGAGCGCGAGCUCUGCCUUUGCUGCUGCUCCUCCUUGUGCUGCUCCUCAGAAGCAGUCGUGGGCAAGAUGGGCUUAAGUAGGGAGCUAAUGAUAUCUGGGGUGUGCCGGCCUCUGAAGGAGGACAAGAUGAACGAACUCCCAAGUCUGCUCAGAGUUGGUGUUCCAAGGAAACUAAUGGUCGGAGGUGUAACACUGCUGUACAUAUCAAUGGAUUGCCUGUAACUCUGAGGCCAUGUGGUGUUGUAAGAGCUCGGCCUGCUCCGCCGCGGGCUCCCGCCGGACGAAUCUGAUUCAUCCGAUUCAUCGCCUCCAUUGUUCACGUCCUCUGUGACAUCAUCAUCAUCUUCGCUCUCAAUGAAUAGGCUCCGAUCUGAAACCGAGUUCCUCAUCUCUCACAACCUUCUCUAUGAAUCUUGAACCG